GACGAACGCUGGCGGCGUGCUUAACACAUGCAAGUCGAACGGAAAGGCCCUGCUUUUGUGGGGUGCUCGAGUGGCGAACGGGUGAGUAACACGUGAGUAACCUGCCCUUGACUUUGGGAUAACUUCAGGAAACUGGGGCUAAUACCGGAUAGGAGCUCCUGCUGCAUGGUGGGGGUUGGAAAGUUUCGGCGGUUGGGGAUGGACUCGCGGCUUAUCAGCUUGUUGGUGGGGUAGUGGCUUACCAAGGCUUUGACGGGUAGCCGGCCUGAGAGGGUGACCGGCCACAUUGGGACUGAGAUACGGCCCAGACUCCUACGGGAGGCAGCAGUGGGGAAUAUUGCACAAUGGGCGGAAGCCUGAUGCAGCAACGCCGCGUGCGGGAUGACGGCCUUCGGGUUGUAAACCGCUUUCGCCUGUGACGAAGCGUGAGUGACGGUAAUAGGUAAAGAAGCACCGGCUAACUACGUGCCAGCAGCCGCGGUGAUACGUAGGGUGCGAGCGUUGUCCGGAUUUAUUGGGCGUAAAGGGCUCGUAGGUGGUUGAUCGCGUCGGAAGUGUAAUCUUGGGGCUUAACCCUGAGCGUGCUUUCGAUACGGGUUGACUUGAGGAAGGUAGGGGAGAAUGGAAUUCCUGGUGGAGCGGUGGAAUGCGCAGAUAUCAGGAGGAACACCAGUGGCGAAGGCGGUUCUCUGGGCCUUUCCUGACGCUGAGGAGCGAAAGCGUGGGGAGCGAACAGGCUUAGAUACCCUGGUAGUCCACGCUGUAAACGGUGGGUACUAGGUGUGGGGUCCAUUCCACGGGUUCCGUGCCGUAGCUAACGCUUUAAGUACCCCGCCUGGGGAGUACGGCCGCAAGGCUAAAACUCAAAGGAAUUGACGGGGCCCCGCACAAGCGGCGGAGCAUGCGGAUUAAUUCGAUGCAACGCGUAGAACCUUACCUGGGUUUGACAUGGAUCGGGAGUGCUCAGAGAUGGGUGUGCCUCUUUUGGGGUCGGUUCACAGGUGGUGCAUGGCUGUCGUCAGCUCGUGUCGUGAGAUGUUGGGUUAAGUCCCGCAACGAGCGCAACCCUUGUUCACUGUUGCCAGCACGUUAUGGUGGGGACUCAGUGGAGACCGCCGGGGUCAACUCGGAGGAAGGUGGGGAUGACGUCAAGUCAUCAUGCCCCUUAUGUCCAGGGCUUCACGCAUGCUACAAUGGCUGGUACAGAGAGUGGCGAGCCUGUGAGGGUGAGCGAAUCUCGGAAAGCCGGUCUCAGUUCGGAUUGGGGUCUGCAACUCGACCUCAUGAAGUCGGAGUCGCUAGUAAUCGCAGAUCAGCAACGCUGCGGUGAAUACGUUCCCGGGGCU
rnacentral:rRNA from 1 species